rnacentral:sRNA from 12 species
AAUGAAGUUUGAAGUAACGAUUCAAACAUAUAGCCGCCAUUGGUAUCAUAGAAUGUAGUCGGAGUACCGGAUGACCUUCCCGUAAGUCUAUGAGUAAAUCCCGAAA